rnacentral:misc_RNA from 1 species
UGCCAUGUGACACAAGAAGCAACAAUUAUGCGAUAAAACAAGCAGUGUGGUUGCACCUGUAGCAGCAUCAGCAGGUAAAUGAUGAGUUCGAGCCAACAACCUGAUGAGUGUUUGGCGAGGCGGGGGAUCCAUGACCGAAGGAGUAGUCAUCACGAUGCUGAUUUAACAGACUCUUGUGAUGACGCUGAAGACCAGACAGACAAAGCUGAGCACAUAUCUCCAGAUGCUAACAUUGAGGAACCAUUGGCGCAGGAGUCAUAUGCACAUAAGCCAAGUAAUACACAGGCAUUAUAUCCUGACCUCACACCCUAUAAAAGGAGACUGUCUAUUCCCAGAAGUGCUUCACCAUCUAGGCACAAGAAAGAGCUACCACCACAGAGUCAGCAGGCGUCCUACUAUUUGUAUGUAGGUGCACUUAUUUGUGCACUCGUACUACUUGUGCAGUACCUGAUCAGCGAACAGCCAAUGCCUUUGUCAUUGGCUGAUAGGCGCCUUGGAACAUUGCGAGAGCAUCUUCGUAAACUUAAGGACACUUUUGUAGCACAGCCUGAAUAUAAUUGGCAGAUCAUACGUAGCUCUGUUAUGGAUAUGAUCAAUGACACUGGUGUUUAUUCAGGACCAGCUGUGAUCACGUUUCUUGCAUCCGUUAAAAAUGAGCGUUUUGCAACAUGUCUUUCACAACAGGUUGCAACUGCCUUGUCAUACACUUUCGAUGAUGGUGGAGAUUAUGGAACUAUUGCUGCUGAUGAGUUGUCAGUGUCUGAAGAUGUUGCACGGCACAUAAUUGAGAAUCGGUGCAAAGAAGUAGUAGAGAGGCGGCAACGACAUGUAAUGGUUGCCUCGCACCUAGAGAAAUGGAACCCUGAUGCAGCAAUGAUGCUGCACCCCUUGUGUGACCAGGAAAAUGCUUUGUACAAGAACGUAACAUACAUUCUAACUGUGUUCACAAAGCAUGAAGAUGUGUCCGGCCAGAGGGAAAGAAAAGAGUAUGAUCAUCUUGCUGAGAAUGCACUUAACAAUGCUUGGGAGUCUAUGGACACUAACCAAAGGCAUGCCAUCAUUAGUAGGGUGACUGGCAAUGUUGUGUUGGUGCGUGAAGAUUCAUCAUCAUGUGUGUCAGCUAGCUAGGAAACAUUUGCUUGAGUAAGUACUGUUUCUGAUCUGAUGACUGUGAUGGCUUUUAUGCCUUGAAGGUGCAAGUGGCAUGCCGAGAAACAAACGAGUAGGCCUCUUUCAUUGGCAAGGAAAGUGUGCAAAGUGAAAUUUUGUAAAAUAUGUUGCGCCAAUUUGAAGUAUGAAACGUUUAAAAGAAUGUUCACAUGCAAUUUUGCAAGUCUUUCCUUUGUACCUGUUUAAAUGCGCUUUGGUGACAUGUUGUAGCGAUCUCCCCAUUUACAUGGGUUAUCAACUGAAGGCUUGCAGUGUGUUGUGGUGGCUAUCUUCCAGCAAAUUUUGUGAAAUCGGGCUUUGUUUCUUAUUGAGGCAAAGCUUCACAUUGUCAUUGUCAUGUGUUCAAUUUUUUGCAUGGUGGUAUUUGCUAUUUGUUUCUGUGUCCAUUAUUUCAUAAGGCACAAAUUUACAGACACAGCGUUAUUGGCAAUAUUUACCAUAUGUAGUCACAAGUGGAGAUAUAGUAACAGUAACAGGUGGAUGUUACAUCUUGACAAUAACCAGUUGGUUAAAGUUGGUGAGGCUGUUUUAUCCUAACAGAUGUAUAGCAGUGCAGUUUGAGUUUGGAAGUUGAAGUUGUUGUGCACAAAUCUCAAGUAGUUGAUGUAAUUAUGGCGCACUUUGUGUUUUAGCGUGCAGCUGUUGCUGUUGACUUGGCCAGGGAUGUGCUGGCAUGACUGUGCCAUUUAUUUGUACAACAAACUUUGUAUAAAAAAUUAUUAUUGUUCAGUAAAUAAUGCAAACCGUUA